UACGAAGGGGGCUAGCAUUGUUCGGAAUUACUGGGCGUAAAGCGCACGUAGGCGGACUAUUAAGUCAGGGGUGAAAUCCCGGGGCUCAACCCCGGAACUGCCUUUGAUACUGGUAGCCUCGAGUCCGGAAGAGGUGAGUGGAAUUCCCAGUGUAGAGGUGAAAUUCGUAGAUAUUGGGAAGAACACCGAUGGCGAAGGCAGCCAUCUGGACCGACACUGACGCAUGAGGCGCGAAAGCGUGGGAGCA
rnacentral:rRNA from 1 species